CCCCUGUCCUUUCCUGCAGUACCACGAGGAGAUCCGCGUGCUCGCCAGGGCCCGCGCUGCGCGCUCGGUGCGCAGCCAGCGCCGCGCCGACCUGCCGCUCACAGCUGGGGAACAGCUGGAUGUUAUCGACACCCACGGCACGGCCCACGGCGCCCAGGGCCACGCCGUCAUCUGCCGCAACGCCCAGGGCAGAUACGGGUAUGUUCUGGUGGAACACUUGAACUUCAGGUAAUCUCUGAUUUUUUUAUUUAUUAUGAUGCACAUUUGUGGGAACCCAGGAAAUUCCUCUGGCUGCCCUGGAGGGCUAAAUCAAGAGCCCAAGACCCCUGUACCUUUGAUUUAGCCCUUGGAAAAAACAAUUACCAACCUUUAUAUGAAGAAUUACAAGUCAAGAAAGUUUAAGUAGAAUAAUAGUUAGUUUGUCAUGGGGUGAAAAAUAGAUUUUUGAGGUUUUUAGAAUGGGGGCUUUGGGUCCCAAGGUGGAGGAAUUUGGGUGUGCCUUGUCCUUUUUCCUUCUUCUUCUUGGCCUCCAUCUUCUGGAUGAUGCUGGCAUUUUUAGAUUGGUUUAGAGUAGAAACUCCCUGUCUAACAUAGAUGACAGGUAUUGGGAAGUUACUGUAAAUAAUGCACAUGUAGUUUUUAGUAUAAAAGAUAACUCCAGUGUGCCUCAACCCGACCUGCCAGACAGGCCUCGGUGGGUCAGAGAAAGAAUUUUAUAGAUAAGAAACAAUAAACAACCUUGAGAAGGAGAACA
rnacentral:lncRNA from 1 species